rnacentral:lncRNA from 1 species
UUUUCAGAAAUCAGGCGGUAAAUAAAUUUAUUAAAUAUUAAAAUGGUAUAAUAUAUACAUUAAUUAUUUCCAUCCAUGCCACCUCACCCAUCCCAUCUUAUUAUCCCAGUACACCACCUUCCGUUCAUCUUUCCAUUGGAGACGGUGAUCUCUCUAGCGGCCAAUCAUACAAUCGCUCCAGCAAGCUGCUCCAAUGACCACUCCGACGCCUGUGACCAAUUUUGUUUUCGGUGUGACUAAUUGUGACCAAAUUUAUAUUCAGUAUGAUAACUGUCUAUAAUUAGGUCAAUCUCAAGUCACAACCGAUCACAAUCAAUACAAAAUUGGUCACAAACAGUCACAACAGACACAUACUUGAUCGUAUAGAGUCACCACAAAUAAAUCUGCACACACCAUAGACCUGUGAUUAACCAUGACCAACUUUAUUUUUGGUGUGACUAAAUGUGACCAAAUUUAUAUUCAUUGUGACUGUUAUGACCAGGUCAAUCUCAAGUAACAACUGGUCACAAAACCAUCAUAGCCAACCAUGAAACAAUGACAGCCUAUACCACCACCAACGAACCAAAUGUUCACCACCUUACCAUGACCACCAACAACAGAAUCACCAAGAUCAGAAAAUCAUGGACACUGCAAAACACCCACAACUAUACUAAAACUCUGGUUAAACAAAAGAUCUGAUAAAAGACCACCCAUCACUAAAAAUUUGAUAAAGCUACGCUGGUUCCAUCUUGUACAUCACCAAAACCAAUUUUCUCUCCACCACCAACUGGGAGCUCAUCUCUACCAUCCCCAUUGAUUAGAAAAUCACCAGCACCAUUUGUAUAACACUAACAACCAUCCCAAAAUUUAGGCUAAACAACAGAUUUGAUAAAAAACUACCUACCACUAAAAAUUUAUAAACAUUAAAAAAUACAAAAAUCCAGAUCUGUGAUAAUAUUCUAGAAGAUGGAAAUCUGUUCUAAAAUGAUGAGAAUGAAACUGACUUUGUCAGAGAUUAACGUCUGUGUAGAAGAAUUGGUGGAUGGGAUCAAUGAGUUGGACAAAUGGUGAAACAAGUAGAAGCAGCUCACCGCCAUUGCAAGCAGGGGUGAUGUCACAAGCAGCUGCACGCAAAGGUUCAGCAACGGUUCUACUCCACCAUGUGCAACAACGAACCACUGCGUGCAUCUACUUCCUUCGACAGUUAUACUCCAUCCUAGGGGUUAGAUAGGAGGUGUGCAAAGUGGUGGUAGAGACAAGAAAGAGGAAGAGAAAGAGAGAGAAGUGGUGGUAGAGAGAAAUAUAGAGAGUUGAAAGAGAU